GACGAACGCUGGCGGCGUGCUUAACACAUGCAAGUCGAGCGGUAAGGCCUUCGGGUACACGAGCGGCGAACGGGUGAGUAACACGUGGGUGAUCUGCCCUGCACUCUGGGAUAAGCUUGGGAAACUGGGUCUAAUACUGGAUAUGACCUCAUGCUGCAUGGUGUGGGGUGGAAAGAUUUAUUGGUGCAGGAUGGGCCCGCGGCCUAUCAGCUUGUUGGUGGGGUAAUGGCCUACCAAGGCGACGACGGGUAGCCGGCCUGAGAGGGCGACCGGCCACACUGGGACUGAGACACGGCCCAGACUCCUACGGGAGGCAGCAGUGGGGAAUAUUGCACAAUGGGCGGAAGCCUGAUGCAGCGACGCCGCGUGAGGGAUGACGGCCUUCGGGUUGUAAACCUCUUUCAGUAGGGACGAAGCGUGAGUGACGGUACCUACAGAAGAAGCACCGGCCAACUACGUGCCAGCCGCCGCGGUAACAC
rnacentral:rRNA from 1 species